rnacentral:lncRNA from 1 species
AUGAGCGAGACAAUUGACAAUAGAAAUAAUCGGAACAGUUUGGCCAAUGCCGAGUCCACAAUUAUCGAAAACGCGGUUGCUACACUCAACAGCAACAAUAUUAACAAUAUCAACUACAAUAAUGAUGCCAACAUAAACAGGCCAGCCACUCCAGAUGAAGAGAACAAUAUCGUUGAGUGGCUUCGCCCGUCAAGUGAAGAUUUCCCAAAAUUACUGAUGAGGGAGUCGCCUGGUGAAACGCGAGUUUGUGAGCGGGAAAAAGUUCUGGGCGAAACGGUGACGACUAAAACGGAAGAAUACUACGACGAGAAAACGGGCGAACGCAAAGUUCGUACGGUCGAAAUCGUCGAAAAGCUGAUAGAAAAAGAGGUUGAAACGACUCGAGAAAAGAUAAUCUCCCUAGAGUUAUGUUCGCCUGACAGCAAGAAUGACAAGAAUGAAGAGGAAGAUGAGGAGGAGUUUGACGGUGAGAACAAAGACGGUGCUUCUGUCACUGCCGCCAUCAAUGCUCAAACAACUGAUGAGCAGGCCUUAAAUAUUAGUAAAAAGAGGAAAAACAGGAAACGUGUCAAGAAAAAAUCCAACUAAGUUGUAGGUGAGUGUGCCAACUUUUUUCUAUCUUCCUAUAAACACUGAACUUCAGACAACAAGUCAAUAGAUAAUUUCCAAAUGUCUGCUUGAUCCUCAUUCAGAAGUAAAAACAACAGACUGAGCUGAGAACAACAGUAUUCCUGGUUUCCAAAUUGAACAAGUAUUGGCAGAGUUAUAACUGAAGUAUCUUAUAGACGAAAAUACAUUUGUCUGAAAGAGAAAUGCGCUCUUUAGUGUCACAGAGUGGUAAAGGACCACAAACACAAUAGUAAGAAAUGCAGUGCUGCCUAACUCUCAAUCUACUCGGUAUGAUGUUCCUUGCAACCCCCUGAGCUCGAUGAGCUUUUAAAGUGGAACCUCCUAUGUGCGAAUUCCAGGGAAAAAAUGAGCUCGAUCACGGAAAAAGCGAAGAAGAAAAACCGUUUGGUCACAUUACAAUGUGUUGCUCUGUUUUAAAGCAGCAAAGAGAUAGUUUCCAUUCACGAAAACUAGUUGUAGGACCACGUUUCCUCCAAUGUGCACUGUUUUAAUGUCUGUACUUUAAUCUGUUUUGUAUAAUUAUUUAGAUAUGUUUUGAAAAGCUUAACUGAAGAGCUCAUGUUUUGUUUUGUUACAGUUCUCAGGGAGCAGCUUCUAUGAAAAAGCUUGAAUUUUAAUUUUCCUGUCAACUACAGCUAUUUUUUUAAUUGCAUUUAUUUUGUUCAUCUCAUAGAAAAAAGGGUAAUUGAGAUCUCAAUUUAUCCCAGCUCUAUGUGUGACCACAUCACUUUUCUAUUAUGUUGAAUUCAAAUGACUUACUUUUAAUUGUGUUUCAUAAUUUUAUACAGUGUUAAGGCUUUAAAGUUAAAUCUAUUUUUAUAUAUAAUUUAUUCGUUUUUAUGAAAUUUAAAUUAUUUUGUUAGAAUAAUGCAAAGAGAAACUUGUAAAUAAAUCAUCAGAAUUGUGAGGAAGAUUCACAAUUAAUGCUGCAGAGAUGUCCUUCUUUUUCUUGUCUGAAGGUUUUGAAAUCUUGUCUUUGAAAGCAGUGACAGUUAAUAGGUGAAUUGAUAUGCAAUGAACAAUCGUUUCUGACCGAACAGUACUCUUCGUGUAUCUGCUAGAGUUUUGCAGGCCAGAAAGGUGUCGAAUCAUAGAAGAAUAAUUCUUGACUCUUAUUUUUCAAACUUAGUGUUUUAUUUUUAUUUUUUAUUUUUUUUUUUUUUCUAAUGCGAGCCGUAUGAAAGAUUGUGAAUUGUAAAUACUUUGUUGUGUACUUUCGUUAUUCUAGCUAUCGAAUUAUGAGUCAAUUUCUGUAAAAGUAAGGCUCAUCAAUACUCAACAAUUUGUGCGAUCAAGCCUAAUAUUUUUGAUGAACUGAUCAUAACUGGACUGUUUGCAAGAGCAUCUCGGGCAAAUCUUGUUCAAAUCAUCGUGCUUACUCUUUUACAUAUACAUACAUAUAUAUAUAUAUAUAUAUAUGUAUAUAUUUACAUAAAUCUGACAAUAAUAGAACUCUCAAAAUUAUUUAUACACUUUUUGUGCAAUUACACUAUACUUUGAAGUGCUUUGUUAUCCCUCCAUUUUUCAACAGAGUUUUUAUUUUUUAUUAGCAGCUCAAAUUAUGUGUUCUAAACUUUUUAAAUAGAAAAAGACUUUAGGCUGAACUUUUAUUUUCAUAAGUAAAUGCUGAGCAGUGCUUUUGGUAGUUCGUAUUGGAUCUUUUCAGAAGGUCUCAACUGUCUCUGCAGAUCCUCUGAAAAAGUUUUAACUAUUUUAGCAUUUAAGAAAUCCCACGAUUUUUUUUUAAAUCCGUCCUUAGCUGUGUUGAGAGCACCUUGAGUGAGAAAGCUGCUAUCUCUUUAAUUUAUGUAGGUAUACCCUUAAUUAUCUAUAAAAUUAGCUCCAUUUUUCCUCCUAUUUUUUUUCUUUCAUGUAGAAACUAAUGCAUUUGGUGCAAUAGUUCAUUGAUUUUUCUUUUUUCUAACCUUUUUUGGUUUGUUAAACUUGUAUUAUGUGCAGUAUGUUUCCAGUGUCAAAUGUUUUUCUAUCAUUACAAUCAUUUGUGGAUGAAAUUUAAAAAAAAGAAAAAAUAUAUGUUUUUAAUUUCGCUAAAAUUUAAUCUUCUUUGCCCUAC